rnacentral:tRNA from 1 species
GGCUCGUUGGCUCAGUUGGUUAGAGCAUCACACUGCAAACGUGAAGGUCGUGGGUUCAAAUCCCACAUGAGCCC